rnacentral:lncRNA from 1 species
UAACGAUUAGCACAUGAACAUAACAGCAGUAUAUGAAAGCAUUUUUUUUUCCAAUCUAAUAAGACAUAACAUAAGCAAUUGAAAUAUUUUUCAGAAUGCAGAAAUCUCUCGGGGGUAUAAAGUUGUGAAGAAAAAUACUACAGAUAUUGAAAAAUACUCCAAGAAAAAAAGGACAGAAAGCUAAUUACUUGAAGAACUAUGGAGUUAAAAGCAAAAUAUGAGAUUAAGCAAACUCUACAAAUUACUUGAAGAGCCAAUGCCCUUCAAAGGGACAUGGGCAAACAGAUUUCUUGAAACCAAAAUUGGACUUCCACAAUUAAGUACACAAUAAAAACGUUCCAAUCUAUUAAAACCACAUGGUAUCAAUGAUAUUAAUUGGAGAGCAAUGUGUGCUCUUCUUGUGGAUUAAAUGGCUCUCUCAAUGGCUGAGGGCAACAUGAACAGAGACCAUACACUGCCUUUGAGAAACAACCAGUAAAUAAUUCAGGGGACUCAUUGGGAGGGAAACCACAAGAAACCAAGCAUCUUAUCUCCAGCACCUCAGAAGAGACUGAAAACACUGCUGCAAAAACCACUCUUCAUCAGGACUCCUUACUCAUGUUAGGUUUGCUGUUGCAUUAAUGGUUACGAUAGCUUACAAUAUGGUAUGAAUAUUGAUAUAGGUUAAAUCCUGAAGCUAAAAUAGGUGAAAUCCUGAAGCUAAAAUAGGUGAAAUCCUGAAGUUAAAAUCCAUCUUGUCUAGACAUGUGAAUAUAUCUAUGCACAGACCACUUAAUAAGGUAACUAGCACCACUCUUUUGCAAAAGAGGGUUCUUAUCAUACAUUAUUAACAAAUAGAAUCAUGUCAUGCUGAUCUCGACAUAAGAGAUUUCGCCUUUUUGCAAAAUUAGAAGAUAAAGUGCAUCUAGAGUAAUAAAGUUUUAAGCAGUAGCUCCGUAAGCAUUAUUGGUCUUACCAG